UCUAGCAUCUUUCCACGUGUA
rnacentral:miRNA from 1 species